rnacentral:rRNA from 1 species
UACGUAGGGGCCGAGCGUUGUCCGGAGUUACUGGGCGUAAAGCGCGCGCAGGCGGCUCGUCAAGCCUGACGUGAAAGCCCCCGGCUCAACCGGGGAGGGUCGCCGGGGACUGGCGGGCUUGAGGUCGGCAGGGGUUGGUGGAAUUCCCGGUGUAGUGGUGAAAUGCGUAGAUAUGUGGAGGAACACCGAUGGCGAAGGCAGCCCCCUGGGCUAACACUGACGCUCAUGCACGAAAGCGUGGGGAGCAAACAGG